rnacentral:rRNA from 1 species
GACAGAGGGUGCAAACGUUGUUCGGAUUUACUGGGCGUAAAGCGCGUGUAGGCGGCCUUGCAGGUCGGGUGUGAAAGCCCUCGGCUCAACCGAGGAAGUGCAUUCGAAACUGCUGAACUUGAGUAUGGAAGAGGGUCGCGGAAUUCCCGGUGUAGAGGUGAAAUUCGUAGAUAUCGGGAGGAACAUCAGUUGCGAAGGCGGCUCUCUGGACCAGCACUGACACUGAGGCACGAAAGCGUGGGGAGCAAACAGG